rnacentral:piRNA from 1 species
UGAACUCGGGACAGUGAGUCACACU